CCCAACGAACCCAACGGCGCCUAGGCGCCUCGCGCCGUCAGUUAAGCGGCUCUUUGGUCAGCAGAGGCUGGGCUGCGGUCCUUUCCGCCGCCCCGGGACCAGGAAAGGGAGCGAUGAGGGCGCCGGCGCCCCGCCGCUCGGGCCUUCCACCCGCGACUCCAGCUCAGGGUCCCCGAACACUUCGGGCCACCAGGAGACCUGGCCGUCGGGAGUGUUAAAAGCGCCGCGGCCUCUCGGAAAGUGCGACCAAAGCCGACAGCGACUGGUGUCGAGGAAGAAGGGGGUCGUUUCAGGCUGUGUCAUGGAAGCAGUUUUCUCGAGUAGGAAAGACGAAUCUUACAGACCGUUUCGUGACCGCGCCUCCGCUCUGCCCACCGUUCACUCUACAAUUGCAGUGAACACCUGUUAUGUGCAACGAUCACAGAGAUGAGGCCGACCAGAGCCUUACUGUCGAGGAACUGGACAAACAAGAACCCACAGAGGCCCCAGGCUGCUAAAAUACAUCCCAGAGGUCGACAAAGGCGGUGCCUGGUUAAAAAGCAGCCAGAGGAAUGCAGAGCUCAUCAGGCUCUGAGCGCCUGGCUUCCCGGGAAGGCGUCUGGGCUGCUGCAGUCCCCCUGCCGUGAGGGCUUCAGGGCCACCGAGGACACAUGCCGACGGUACCCAGCAGCUUCCUGGAGCAGCUCCCUGGCGGCUGGAAGGCUGGGCAGACUCCCACGCGGUCCAGUCCCCACGCGCCCCCUGCCUUCCCUGGGUCCUGGAGCAGGGAGCUCACAGCGCAGAGGAUGAGACAGCGGUCUGUUGUCCCAGCACAUGGCAGCACCACGCAGCUCUGUUAUCUCAGUUUCUGGGGGUCGGGGAUGGAGCCAAGACCAGCAGGGGCUUCGGCCUCGAGGUCUUGCGAGGCUGCACCUGGCCUGUGCACAGGCUCCACCUGGAGGGUCCAGGCACACUCACGUUGGCAGGAUUCGGUUCCUCACAAGCUACUGGGGGAGCGUCAUCCUUUUCUGCAUUUUGCUGGAGGGCUCACUCCGUCCUUGGCCACAUGGGCCUCUUCAGAGCGCACCUCCCCGGGGGGACAGGGCCCCGUGACCCCCGUCUGCAAUGGCAGCUUGUCCCUCUGUGCUGUUAGAUUCCACUUACCCUGGGGGCCCUUGCAGGGUGCUCGUCCAGUGGGGGCCCCUGGGGGCCACACCCCUGCCCCUCUCUGCGCUCUUCCUACCGUCCCCCAGGCCUGGGUCUCCAGAGACGGUCAUACUGUGUCCAGUGUGACAAUUGUGUGUUUUUCUCUCGUUUUAGAAACUGUAGCCUGGGCUGUCGCGCCCUGAGAUAGAUGUACCCAGAGAGUUGUAGGGUGCGCUGUGGGCACUGUUCUGUCCACACCGCCCGGGACAGCCCUCCCUGGGCCCUGCUUACUAGGCUUUCCAACCUCCUCCGGGACAGGGAGCCACUUUCCUUAAGCUCAGGAGUUGUUUCCAUUUUUAUCAGAGCAGGGUCAGGCCCCACCCCCCACCCUGUCUCCGUGGAGUGGAGGAGCGACGGGAAAUCCUAGAAGGAAGUGUAGGGGCCCCCACAAGCCACACAGUCAAGGCUUGAACCACAGCUAAAUCUCGGUGUUGGUGAGAGCCUGGGAAGAGCCGCUGUGGAGGCCUGGGCGCCCCUGGUGCCCCAGGAGGCCGAGCCAGGGGGGCUGGGCGAGGUAGGGCGGCCCCAGGCCCAUGGUGUCCCGAUGCUGCAGCCACCCAGCCACUGUCUGGUGUCCCCUGGCUAGGGCCCACUGGGAGCUGGCGCCUUGGGCUGCUCUUCUG